UGGAUUAGGCAUGCAAGUCGAGCGAGAAAGGGGUGGCAACACCCUGAGUAAAGCGGCGAACUGGUGAGUAACAGGUGGGUAAUGUGCCCUGAAGUGGGGGAUAACACCGGGAAACCGGUGCUAAUACCGCAUGUGGCCCUGGGGACCCCGGUCCCAAGGGUUAAAGAAGUGAUUCGCUUCAGGAUCGGCCCGCCCCCGAUUAGCUAGUUGGUGAGGUCAUGGCUCACCAAGGCGACGAUCGGUAGCUGGUCUGAGAGGAUGGUCAGCCACACUGGGACUGAGAUACGGCCCAGACUCCUACGGGGGGCAGCAGUCUAGAGGCUUCGGCAAUGGGGGCAACCCUGACCGAGCGACGCCGCGUGUGGGAUUGAAGGCCUUCGGGUCGUUAACCAC
rnacentral:rRNA from 1 species